GUGACCCACUGGCAUUUUAGAAUGUCAACUCCAGCAUCAGGGAUGGUAGAGAGACGAUCACAGCAGGAAGACUAGUCAGGAAACAGGUACGGCGGUCAGAGGCAAGGAGAGAGAAAGGGUCCGAGCUGGGGACGCUAUGGUGAGGAUGGAGAGGUGGUGGCAGAGGGAAUGACAUGGCUGGGACUGCGGAACAGGGUGCAAGGGUGGGCAACUGAGCCAAGCGUGGAGCAGAGUGCUGAAGACAACGAGCCCACAGAAGAAUCAGCCCCCAGGGGAAACGAGAGCUCUUUAGACGCGCUGAGAGUGAGGGAGCAAAUCUUGGUAGAUACUGAAGUCUGGAGCUCAGGAGAGAGGCAGGGGCUGGAGACCAGUUUUGAGAGUCCUGAGUGGAUUAGAUCACCUUGGGAAAGCAAGAGGCAGCAGGAAUGGAGGCUCAGUGAAGUGCAGUCAUGGGCCAAACCCUGGAAAAGACAAUGUUUUAAAGAGAGCUGGGGCACAGAUGUGAGAAAAAGGAGGUCCAG
rnacentral:lncRNA from 1 species